rnacentral:rRNA from 1 species
CAGUAGCCGCGGGAAUACAGAGGGUGCGAGCGUUAAUCGGAUUUACUGGGCGUAAAGCGUGCGUAGGCGGCUUCUUAAGUCGGAUGUGAAAUCCCUGAGCUUAACUUAGGCAUUGCAUUCGAUACUGGGAAGCUAGAGUAUGGGAGAGGAUGGUAGAAUUCCAGGUGUAGCGGUGAAAUGCGUAGAGAUCUGGAGGAAUACCGAUGGCGAAGGCAGCCAUCUGGCCUAAUACUGACGCUGAGGUACGAAAGCAUGGGGAGCAAACAGGAUUAGAGACCCCGGUAGUCCCUGUCUCUUAUAC